GCUUCUUGCUUGGAGCAGACAAACCAGCGAGGGCAUCCCAAUUGCCAGACGCGGUCAUGUUGUUCUCAUUGUCACCCAUAUGUGCAUCAAUGUUUAUGAUUGCCCCUACUGAGCUAUUGUUCUUUCGACUUGAUUCAGCAGCUAUCUUAUCCUCAAUUUCUAGACCAUCGUCUUUUCCGCCAGCGGAGAUACCUCUACGAUUAAGUCUUUGAUCCUCCCAAAUACAAGCUCGUAGACAGAGAUUGAUGAGUCUCCAAUCCUCAACAGUUCCAUGGCGUGCAGGUACAGAGUUGAGCUCCGACAGAGUUCUGUACUUCUGUUGUGUUACCGGGCUCAGGAUGGCCAACAAAUAAAAAUGACCAGCUGCCUGCUAAGGACUUGGAUAGCCAAUCAAGUCAUGCAAAAGACUACAAGAGAAACACUUUUGAAUAUAAACUUCGCUUCUGAGAAUUGCUCUACAAAACAAUUACCUUCAGAUGUAAUAGUUCCCUUUGAGAUGUAGUAAUUCACCUUACUAUUCCUUUUGAUGUUAGAUGUGGAAC